GUCGAGAAUCAUUGUCAAUGCACGAAAGUGUGAACAUGCGACGCCGCGUGGAGGAAGACGGCCUUCGGGUUGUAAACUCCUGUCAGCAGGGAGUAAGAACAGCAUUACUAAUAGCAAUGUUGUUUGACAGUACCUGCAGAGGAAGUCACGGCUAACUCUGUGCCAGCAGCCGCGGUAAUACAGAGGUGGCGAACGUUGUUCGGAUUUACUGGGCGUAAAGGGUCCGUAGGCGGAUCGGUGUGUCGGAUGUGAAAGCUCACAGCUCAACUGUGGAAUUGCAUUUGAAACUGCCGGUCUAGAGUACUGGAGGGGAGAAGGGAACACUUGGUGUAGCGGUGAAAUGCGUAGAUAUCAAGUGGAACACCGGAGGCGAAGGCGCUUCUCUGGACAGAUACUGACGCUCAUGGACGAAAGCUAGGGUAGCGAAAGGGAUUAGAAACCCGGGUAGUCC
rnacentral:rRNA from 1 species